AGCAGCCGCGGUAAUUCCAGCUCCAAUAGCGUAUAUUAAAAUUGUUGCAGUUAAAAAGCUCGUAGUUGAAUUUCGGGGUUAGUAGGUUGGUCAUGCCUCCGGUAUGUACUGGUCUCACUGAUUCCUCCUUCCUGAUGAGCCGUAAUGCCAUUAAUUUGGUGUUGCGGGGAAUCUGGACCGUUACUUUGAAAAAAUUAGAGUGUUUAAAGCAAGCUAACGCUUGAAUACAUUAGCAUGGAAUAAUGGAAUAGGACGUUCGAUCCUAUUUUGUUGGUUUCUAGGAUUGACGUAAUGAUUAAUAGGGAUAGUUGGGGGCAUUAGUAUUCAAUUGUCAGAGGUGAAAUUCUUGGAUUUUAUUGAAGACUAACUACUGCGAAAGCAUUUGCCAAGGAUGUUUUCAUUAAUCAAGAACGAAAGUUAGGGGAUCGAAGACGAUCAGAUACCGUCGUAGUCUUAACCAUAAACUAUGCCGACUAGGGAUCGGAUGAUGUUAAUUUUUAAUGACUCAUUCGGCGCCUUA
rnacentral:rRNA from 1 species